rnacentral:rRNA from 1 species
CCUACGGGGGGCUGCAGUGGGGAAUAUUGGACAAUGGGGGCAACCCUGAUCCAGCCAUGCCGCGUGUGUGAAGAAGGCCCUCGGGUUGUAAAGCACUUUCAGUGAGGAAGAACGCCUGGUGGUUAAUACCCAUCAUGACAGACAUCACUCACAGAAGAAGCACCGGCUAACUCCGUGCCAGCAGCCGCGGUAAUACGGAGGGUGCGAGCGUUAAUCGGAAUUACUGGGCGUAAAGCGCGCGCAGGUGGCUUGAUAAGCCUGUUGUGAAAGCCCCGGGCUCAACCUGGGAACGGCAUCCGGAACUGUCAAGCUAGAGUGCAGGAGAGGAAGGUAGAAUUCCCGGUGUAGCGGUGAAAUGCGUAGAGAUCGGGAGGAAUACCAGUGGCGAAGGCGGCCUUCUGGACUGAAACUGACGCUGAGGUGCGAAAGCGUGGGUAGCAAACAGGAUUAGAUACCCGUGUAGUC